ACUGGGAAGGAUCACUGUACUUAAAACUCACCUAAUGAAUGGCAGUCUGUGUGGUUUGGUAUCUCUGCCUUCCACAUCGGACAGGCAGGGGGCACGGGAUGCCUGAGAAACGUUGAGAAGUCCAUCUUUGUGGUCACUGCUCAAAAAAAGCACUGGAAACAUCUUUCAUGUUGCAAUGGCCCUCCGCCACACGGAAGAGUUAGCACAGUCUCCGGUGAACCGUUCUGGCCCCUGGCUGAGUUCCUCGGAUACUAAGUAAGAUCGUAAGACUCGGGUGUUGUAAUUUGGGAGGCGGCAGUUUCUUUCGCACAGACAAUGAGACAGUAUCAGCUGCCUUUACCUCAUACCAGGACACGCCGCUCGCCGCCUCGCAGGGAACCACCUUUCACGUGCUAGGCAGAAAGCAAAACGACUUAAAGCGAGUGGGAUCUUUCA